rnacentral:rRNA from 1 species
UUGGAGGGCAAGUCUGGUGCCAGCAGCCGCGGUAAUUCCAGCUCCAAUAGCGUAUAUUAAAGUUGUUGCAGUUAAAAAGCUCGUAGUUGAAUUUCGGGGUCAGUAGGCUGGUCGUGCCACAGGUAUGUACUGGUCUUACUGAUUCCUCCUUCCUGAUGAACCGUAAUGCCAUUAAUUUGGUGUUGCGGGGAAUCUGGACUGUUACUUUGAAAAAAUUAGAGUGUUUAAAGCAGGCUAACGCUUGAAUACAUUAGCAUGGAAUAAUGAAAUAGGACGAUCGAUCCUAUUUUGUUGGUUUCUAGGAUUGACGUAAUGAUUAAUAGGGAUAGUUGGGGGCAUUAGUAUUCAAUUGUCAGAGGUGAAAUUCUUGGAUUUAUUGAAGACUAACUACUGCGAAAGCAUUUGCCAAGGAUGUUUUCAUUAAUCAAGAACGAAGGUUAGGGGAUCGAAGACGAUCAGAUACCGUCGUAGUCUUAACCAUAAACUAUGCCGACUAGGGAUCGGAUGAUGUUAAUUUUUUAAUGACUCAUUCGGCGCCUUACGGGAAA